rnacentral:rRNA from 1 species
UACAGAGGUGGCAAGCGUUGUUCGGAAUUACUGGGCGUAAAGGGCGCGUAGGCGGCCUUCUAAGUCAGACGUGAAAUCCCCCGGCUUAACCUGGGAACUGCGUCUGAUACUGGGAGGCUUGAGUCCGGAAGAGGAGAGUGGAAUUCCUGGUGUAGCGGUGAAAUGCGCAGAUAUCAGGAAGAACACCAAUGGCGAAGGCAGCUCUCUGGGACGGUACUGACGCUGAGACGCGAAAGCGUGGGGAGCGAACAGG